UUUGUGAUUCAUGUUGUCUUCGUUGUUUUAAGGGGUUUGGGGUUGGGGUUUGAAGAUUGGUUUGGGGUGAUAUAUAUACCUGAAUGGGUUUUGAUACCAAUUUGGUGAUUAUUACCAUUGGGUUUGGGUUUGGGUUGAUAGCAACUUUCGUUGUCUUUGUUUCGUUUGCUCAAGACUAAUUUGUGGAAGACUACAAGAAUGUGUGGAGUACCAAAUGUAUAUGAAAUUGACCAAGAGCAGAACGGGUAAUUUUCCUCUUUUCCGUUUGAGUUCAUUUUUCUAGUUAACUAUCAUUAUUAAUGAUUAGUAAUGAAACAAAAUAUUAAACUCUUCUUAGUUACAAAGUUAUAAUUUUCAAUUGUGCUUAUCUUGCUAAAUUUCAUUUGAGAAAAUGAUACAUAGCAGCUUAUCUUGCUAAAUUUCAUUUGAGAAAAUGAUACGUAGCAGCAAUAAGUCCUUACUGUGUGUGAUUCAGAUAAAAAAAAUGGAUGCUUGGUAUUAAUGAGCAUGAAUACUUUCUUUUAAAGCCAAGAAUUUGUUCAUGUAUAUAUAUUUUCUCAAAUGAAGUUUAGAAAGAUAAGCACGGUUUAAAGUCAUGACUUUAUAACUAACAAGAGUUCAAUAUUUUUUUCAUUGCCAAUCACUAAUAUGUUAGUUAACUAGCAAAAUAAACUCAACCAAAUAAGACGAAACUAAUCCGUUCUAUGUCUCUUCUUGGUUCAAUUUCAUAUACACUUGGUACUCUCACACGCUCUUGUAGUCUUCCACAAAUUAUGCUUGCGCAAAUGAAGACAAUGAAAGUUGCACUGAACCCAAACCCAAUGAGACUAGUCACCAAAUCGGUAUCAAAACCCACUGUAGGUAUGUCCACCCGUUACCAAUCUUCAAGAGAUAAAUAACAUGAUAACUGACACCCAAAUGAGAACUCUUGAGAAAAAAAAAAGUAAGAAUAUGAUUUGUUACAACUUUUAUGGAAUCCAAGUGGGUGUUACCCAAGGGAAGAUGGAUGGUGGGGAAGAGAGGGUUGAGAUGCAGAAGAAGAACGUUCGUUUUUCAUUCUGUUGGUUAUUAUUGGAAUCAUAUUUAAUGGUGUGGAGAAACGACAACAUAGUUUUUAAGGAAGUUUGAACAUUUUGGUUUACAUUGUGAUCCACCAUUUUAGGUAAUUACCUGAAGUUAGGCUACCUAUUGAAAUAGCAUGAUAAAUAAGGAAAACAUUGAAAUAUGAUUAGAAACACAUUUACAACACUUCUAACUAUUAAGUAAACUUUAUAUAAACUUUAUAGAAUAUUUCUAUAGAUAAAAAGGAUCCAAUAUUAUUCAGUAUUCAAACAAAAUUCACCAAACAAACAUAUAAAAAAUGUGUGUUGUUAGUAUUUAGAGGGAAUUACUAGCAAUUUGUUCCUUAACAUACACAAAAUAUUAGGCACAAACUUGCUUUCUAUCAUUCUAUCUACCUUCCAGUUCUCCCAAAUUUGAUUACAGAGAUAUCAUAAAAUUUGGUUCAACUUGCCUCUCAUUUUCUAUGUUCCUUUAUGAAGUAUUGGACUCAGCCAGAGAAUAUUUGAU
rnacentral:lncRNA from 1 species